UACGUAGGGGGCAAGCGUUGUCCGGAAUUACUGGGCGUAAAGAGCUCGUAGGUGGUUUGUCGCGUUGUUCGUGAAAUCUCACGGCUUAACUGUGAGCGUGCGGGCGAUACGGGCAGACUGGAGUACUGCAGGGGAGACUGGAAUUCCUGGUGUAGCGGUGGAAUGCGCAGAUAUCAGGAGGAACACCGGUGGCGAAGGCGGGUCUCUGGGCAGUAACUGACGCUGAGGAGCGAAAGCGUGGGGGAGCGAACAGG
rnacentral:rRNA from 1 species